GAUGAACGCUGGCGGCGUGCCUAAUACAUGCAAGUCGAGCGAACAGAUGAUGAGCUUGCUCCUCUGACGUUAGCGGCGGACGGGUGAGUAACACGUGGAUAACCUACCUAUAAUACUGGGAUAACUACGGGAAACCGGAGCUAAUACCGGAUAAUAUAUUGAACCGCAUGGUUCAAUAGUGAAAGACGGUUUUGCUGUCACUUAUAGAUGGAUCCGCGUCGGAUUAGCUAGUUGGUAGGGUAACGGCUCACCAAGGCGACGAUGCGUAGCUGACCUGAGAGGAUGAGAAGCCACACUGGAACUGAGACACGGUCCAGACUCCUACGGGAGGAAGCAGUGGGGAAGAUUGGACAAUGGGCGCAAGCCUGAUCCAGCCAUACCGCGUGGGUGAAGAAGGUCUUCGGGUUGUAAAGCCCUUUUGGUGGGAAAGAAAAGAAGCAGGUUAAUACCCCGCUGUUCUGACGGUACCCAAAGAAUAAGCACCGGCUAACUUCGUG
rnacentral:rRNA from 1 species